GAAGCGUCUGGAAAGGCGUGCGAUACAGGGUGACAGCCCCGUACACAAAAAUGCACAUACUGUGAGCUCGAUGAGUAGGGCGGGACACGUGGUAUCCUGUCUGAAUAUGGGGGGACCAUCCUCCAAGGCUAAAUACUCCUGACUGACCGAUAGUGAACCAGUACCGUGAGGGAAAGGCGAAAAGAACCCCGGCGAGGGGAGUGAAAAAGAACCUGAAACCGUGUACGUACAAGCAGUGGGAGCACGCUUAGGCGUGUGACUGCGUACCUUUUGUAUAAUGGGUCAGCGACUUAUAUUCUGUAGCAAGGUUAACCGAAUAGGGGAGCCGAAGGGAAACCGAGUCUUAACUGGGCGUUAAGUUGCAGGGUAUAGACCCGAAACCCGGUGAUCUAGCCAUGGGCAGGUUGAAGGUUGGGUAACACUAACUGGAGGACCGAACCGACUAAUGUUGAAAAAUUAGCGGAUGACUUGUGGCUGGGGGUGAAAGGCCAAUCAAACCGGGAGAUAGCUGGUUCUCCCCGAAAGCUAUUUAGGUAGCGCCUCGUGAAUUCAUCUCCGGGGGUAGAGCACUGUUUCGGCAAGGGGGUCAUCCCGACUUACCAACCCGAUGCAAACUGCGAAUACCGGAGAAUGUUAUCACGGGAGACACACGGCGGGUGCUAACGUCCGUCGUGAAGAGGGAAACAACCCAGACCGCCAGCUAAGGUCCCAAAGUCAUGGUUAAGUGGGAAACGAUGUGGGAAGGCCCAGACAGCCAGGAUGUUGGCUUAGAAGCAGCCAUCAUUUAAAGAAAGCGUAAUAGCUCACUGGUCGAGUCGGCCUGCGCGGAAGAUGUAACGGGGCUAAACCAUGCACCGAAGCUGCGGCAGCGACGCUUAUGCGUUGUUGGGUAGGGGAGCGUUCUGUAAGCCUGUGAAGGUGUGCUGUGAGGUAUGCUGGAGGUAUCAGAAGUGCGAAUGCUGACAUAAGUAACGAUAAAGCGGGUGAAAAGCCCGCUCGCCGGAAGACCAAGGGUUCCUGUCCAACGUUAAUCGGGGCAGGGUGAGUCGACCCCUAAGGCGAGGCCGAAAGGCGUAGUCGAUGGGAAACAGGUUAAUAUUCCUGUACUUGGUGUUACUGCGAAGGGGGGACGGAGAAGGCUAUGUUGGCCGGGCGACGGUUGUCCCGGUUUAAGCGUGUAGGCUGGUUUUCCAGGCAAAUCCGGAAAAUCAAGGCCGAGGCGUGAUGACGAGGCACUACGGUGCUGAAGCAACAAAUGCCCUGCUUCCAGGAAAAGCCUCUAAGCAUCAGGUAACAUCAAAUCGUACCCCAAACCGACACAGGUGGUCAGGUAGAGAAUACCAAGGCGCUUGAGAGAACUCGGGUGAAGGAACUAGGCAAAAUGGUGCCGUAACUUCGGGAGAAGGCACGCUGAUACGUAGGUGAAGCGACUUGCUCGUGGAGCUGAAAUCAGUCGAAGAUACCAGCUGGCUGCAACUGUUUAUUAAAAACACAGCACUGUGCAAACACGAAAGUGGACGUAUACGGUGUGACGCCUGCCCGGUGCCGGAAGGUUAAUUGAUGGGGUUAGCGCAAGCGAAGCUCUUGAUCGAAGCCCCGGUAAACGGCGGCCGUAACUAUAACGGUCCUAAGGUAGCGAAAUUCCUUGUCGGGUAAGUUCCGACCUGCACGAAUGGCGUAAUGAUGGCCAGGCUGUCUCCACCCGAGACUCAGUGAAAUUGAACUCGCUGUGAAGAUGCAGUGUACCCGCGGCAAGACGGAAAGACCCCGUGAACCUUUACUAUAGCUUGACACUGAACAUUGAGCCUUGAUGUGUAGGAUAGGUGGGAGGCUUUGAAGUGUGGACGCCAGUCUGCAUGGAGCCGACCUUGAAAUACCACCCUUUAAUGUUUGAUGUUCUAACGUGGACCCGUGAUCCGGGUUGCGGACAGUGUCUGGUGGGUAGUUUGACUGGGGCGGUCUCCUCCUAAAGAGUAACGGAGGAGCACGAAGGUUGGCUAAUCCUGGUCGGACAUCAGGAGGUUAGUGCAAUGGCAUAAGCCAGCUUGACUGCGAGCGUGACGGCGCGAGCAGGUGCGAAAGCAGGUCAUAGUGAUCCGGUGGUUCUGAAUGGAAGGGCCAUCGCUCAACGGAUAAAAGGUACUCCGGGGAUAACAGGCUGAUACCGCCCAAGAGUUCAUAUCGACGGCGGUGUUUGGCACCUCGAUGUCGGCUCAUCACAUCCUGGGGCUGAAGUAGGUCCCAAGGGUAUGGCUGUUCGCCAUUUAAAGUGGUACGCGAGCUGGGUUUAGAACGUCGUGAGACAGUUCGGUCCCUAUCUGCCGUGGGCGCUGGAGAACUGAGGGGGGCUGCUCCUAGUACGAGAGGACCGGAGUGGACGCAUCACUGGUGUUCGGGUUGUCAUGCCAAUGGCACUGCCCGGUAGCUAAAUGCGGAAGAGAUAAGUGCUGAAAGCAUCUAAGCACGAAACUUGCCCCGAGAUGAGUUCUCCCUGACCCUUUAAGGGUCCUGAAGGAACGUUGAAGACGACGACGUUGAUAGGCCGGGUGUGUAAGCGCAGCGAUGCGUUGAGCUAACCGGUACUAAUGAACCGUGAGGCUUAACCUU
rnacentral:rRNA from 1 species